AUACGUAGGGUGCAAGCGUUGUCCGGAUUUAUUGGGCGUAAAGGGCUCGUAGGCGGUCUGUCACGUCGGAUGUGAAAACUCGGAGCUCAACUCCGGGCCUGCAUCCGAUACGGGCAGACUAGAGUUCGGUAGGGGAGAUUGGAAUUCCUGGUGUAGCGGUGGAAUGCGCAGAUAUCAGGAGGAACACCGAUGGCGAAGGCAGAUCUCUGGGCCGAUACUGACGCUGAGGCCCGAAAGCGUGGGGAGCAAACAGGAUUAGAAACCCUAGUAGUCC
rnacentral:rRNA from 1 species